GCUCUGGGAGAGGAGCCCCAGCCCCGGCAUUCCCAGGUGUCCACAUUCAGUGAUCAGGACAGAACACAGAGACUCACCAUGGAGUCUAGACUGAGAUGGGUUUUCCUUGUUGCUCUGUUACAAGGUGUCCAGUGUGAGGUGCAGCUGGUGGAGUCUGGGGGAGGCUUGGUCCAGCCUGGGGGGUCCCUGAAACUCUCCUGUGCAGCCUCUGGAUUCACCUUCAGCAGCUACGAUAUGCAUUGGGUCCGCCAGGCUCCAGGGAAAGGGCUGGAGUGGGUCUCAGUCAUUGGUAUUGGUGGUAGCACAUACUAUGCAGAUGCCAUGAAGGGCCGAUUCACCAUCUCCAGAGACAACGGCAAGAACAUGCUGUAUCUGCAGAUGAGCAGUGUGCAAGCUGAGGACACGGCCGUGUACUACUGUACAAGAGACACAGUGAGGGGACAUCAGUGUGAGCUGAGUCACAAACCUCCUGUGCGGAUGUGGCAGCUGCCAGGGGGCGCGUGGUAA